AAAUUGAAGAGUUUGAUCAUGGCUCAGAUUGAACGCUGGCGGCAGGCCUAACACAUGCAAGUCGAACGGUAGCACAGAGAGCUUGCUCUCGGGUGACGAGUGGCGGACGGGUGAGUAAUGUCUGGGAAACUGCCUGAUGGAGGGGGAUAACUACUGGAAACGGUGGCUAAUACCGCAUAACGUCGCAAGACCAAAGAGGGGGACCUUCGGGCCUCUUGCCAUCAGAUGUGCCCAGAUGGGAUUAGCUUGUUGGUGAGGUAACGGCUCACCAAGGCGACGAUCCCUAGCUGGUCUGAGAGGAUGACCAGCCACACUGGAACUGAGACACGGUCCAGACUCCUACGGGAGGCAGCAGUGGGGAAUAUUGCACAAUGGGCGCAAGCCUGAUGCAGCCAUGCCGCGUGUAUGAAGAAGGCCUUCGGGUUGUAAAGUACUUUCAGCGGGGAGGAAGGUGUUGUGGUUAAUA
rnacentral:rRNA from 1 species